GAUGAACGCUGGCGGCGUGCCUAAUACAUGCAAGUCGAGCGAACGGACGAGAAGCUUGCUUUUCUGGUGUUAGCGGCGGACGGGUGAGUAACACGUGGAUAACCUACCUAUAAGACUGGGAUAACUUCGGGAAACCGGAGCUAAUACCGGAUAAUAUUUUGAACCGCAUGGUUCAAAAGUGAAAGACGGUCUUGCUGUCACUUAUAGAUGGAUCCGCGCUGCAUUAGCUAGUUGGUAAGGUAACGGCUUACCAAGGCAACGAUGCAUAGCCGACCUGAGAGGGUGAUCGGCCACACUGGAACUGAGACACGGUCCAGACUCCUACGGGAGGCAGCAGUAGGGAAUCUUCCGCAAUGGGCGAAAGCCUGACGGAGCAGCGCCGCGUGAGUGAUGAAGGUCUUCGGAUCGUAAAACUCUGUUAUUAGGGAAGAACAUAUGUGUAAGUAACUGUGCACAUCUUGACGGUGCCUAAUCAGAAAGCCACGGCUAACUACGUG
rnacentral:rRNA from 1 species